ensembl:lncRNA
UGGAAAAUCUAUUAAAUAGCGCACCUCUAACUUUGUACAGUACUAAUGCAAUUAGUUGUGCAAUUAGUUGUGCAGGGAGCCAUUCAAGCUGGAAUCGCCAGUGUGUGCAUGUGUUUGCAUACUACCGUGCAACGAGCACGCAGAUUGGAGCACGGGAGGGUCAGAGUAUGAGUCCAAAUCAAAGUAUGUGAACCUGAUCGUACAUCUCUGGAGAGACCUGAAAAUGGCUGUGCACCAACACUGACAGUGUCGGUCCAACCUGACAGAGCUUGAGUGGAUCUGCAGAGGAGAAUGGGAGAAACUCCCCAAAUACAGGAGUGUCAAGCUUGUAGAUUCAUACCCAAGAAGACUCAAGGCUGUAAUCACUGUCAAAGGUGCCUCAAGUAAACCCUAGGACCAUGCCUCAGGACUACUUGGCCUGAUGACUCCUUGCUGUCUCCAGUCCACCUGGUCGUGCUGCUACUCCAGUUUCAACUGUUCCGCCUGUGGCUAUGGAACCCUGACCUGUUCACCGGACGUGCUACCUGUCCCAGACCUGCUGUUUUCAACUCUCUAGAGACAGCAGGAGCGGUAGAGAUACUCUUAAUGAACAGCUAUGAAAAGCCAACUGACAUUUACUCCUGAGGUGCUGACUUGCUGCACCCUCAACAACUACUGUGAUUAUUAUUAUUAUUAUUUGACCAUGCUGGUCAUUUAUGAACAUUUGAACAUCUUGGCCAUGUUCUGUUAUAAUCUACACCUGGCACAUCCAGAUGAGGACUGGUCACCCCUCAUAGCCAGGUUCCUCUCUAGGCUUCUUCCUAGGUUUUGGCCUUUCUAGGGAGUUUUUCCUAGCCACCGUGCUUCUACACCUGCAUUGCUUGCUGUUUGGGGUUUUAGGCCGGGUUUCUGUACAGCACUUUGAGAUAUCAGCUGAUGUGAGAAGGGCUAUAUAAAUACAUUUGAUUUGAGUUAUCCAGAAAACAUGACCCAUGUAUUCAUGACCCAUGUACAGUGGUUCAAAGAGCAACUUUUGCAUAGAUAAUUAUGCAACCACUUUUGUUAUCCAGCAAUGUUGAUUCAAUGAUGCACAUGUUUAUAUUCAAAACAAAGAAGUUGUAAUUAAUCAAAGUCUUAUUGUCUCAUUUAAUGUAUUGACUGUACAUUUUAUAUAACAACAUGUUUCCUAAGUUGUAGAUGACUAUGUUGGUUACUAUGCUGUACCACAGCGCCGAUGUCAAGUCUUCCGCAAAAGUUGGUCUCUCUCCUUGUUCGGGCAGUGUUCGGCGGUUGACGUCACCAACCAUUUAGCCAUCAUUGAUCAAUUUUUCAUUUUCCAUUGGUUUUAUCUUGUCUGUCUACACACCUGGUUCCAAUCCCAUCAAUUACAUGUUGUGUAUUUAACCCUCUGUUUCCCCUCAUGUCCUUGUCAGAGAUUGUUUGGUGUAUGUAGGUGUUUAUUGUUAAUUCUGGUGUGCGAUGGGUUUUGUACCCCCUAUUUGUUAUUUUGUUACUUUGGUUUUCGGAGGUUUUGAUGUUUAUUAAACAGCUCCAUUUUUAACAAAUUCAUUCUCCUGCACCUGACUUCCCUGCCACGAGUACGCACCACAUUACAG